AGCUCCUCUCUGUUGAGGGAGAAGAGCUGAGCUCCGGUGAGGAUGCCCAGGUGUUCCACGGUCCUGGGGAGACACAAAGUGGGAGAUGAUGAUCCUGCUGCACAUGGCCUUGUGCCAGAGGCAGAUUGUGCCCUGCAGCUGGUACCAGUCAGGUACCACCUGACUACAGACCUGUUCAAGCUCUUCCAGUGUCACCACAUCCAGGAUAUUGUAUGGAACAUAACCGGCCUGCCCACUCCGGUUGAGCAACUUCCACCAUUGCUUAUUAUCUUCCAACACCUGAGAGAGGGACAAAAAUAAAUCUGCUAGUGAGAACAUGGGAUUUCAGGCAUGUACAACCAGGAUACAGUGGGGAUGGACCACCCAGAAGGUGAAGUUGCCAGGAGGAUAUCACUGAGGCCAGGAGCUCUGAUUAGAUCUGCUGCUCUUAGAUGUAAUCCAGGAUGGAAAAUUUUCCUGGAAGGCAUCAGAAUUUAUCGUAAGGAUGAAGAGGAGAGCACCUCUGGAUGCUGAAGAACUCAUAGUUGCUAUAUAAUAAUUGCUAUAUAAUGUCCCUGUUUCUCUCUUCUUUUUUCCCCAAUGACUGAGUUUCUGUUGUCUUUUUGUGUUUAAAUAAAUAAAUAAAAAUUUUUAAAGCUAAA